rnacentral:rRNA from 1 species
UGGAAUCGCUAGUAAUCGCGGAUCAGAAUGCCGCGGUGAAUACGUUCCCGGGUCUUGUACACACCGCCCGUCACACCAUGGGAGUCGGAAAUGCCCGAAGUCUGUGACCCAACCAUUAAGGAGGGAGCAGCCGAAGGCAGGUCGGAUGACUGGGGUGAAGUCGUAACAAGGUAAC